rnacentral:rRNA from 1 species
CACGUAGGGGGCGAGCGUUGUCCGGAUUUAUUGGGCGUAAAGAGCUCGUAGGCGGUUCGCUAAGUCGGGUGUGAAACCUCCAGGCUCAACCUGGAGACGCCACCUGAUACUGGUGUGACUAGAGUCCGGUAGGGGAGUGUGGAACUCCUGGUGUAGCGGUGAAAUGCGUAGAUAUCGAGAGGAACACCAGUGGCGAAGGCGAGUCCCUGGACACUUCCUGACACUGAGGCACGAAAGCUAGGGGAGCAAACAGG